rnacentral:rRNA from 1 species
AGUGAACGCUGGCGGCGUGCUUAACACAUGCAAGUCGAACGAGAACGGCUUAUAGCUUGCUAUAAUUGUCAGCUAAGUGGCGCACGGGUGAGUAAUGUAUAGGUAAUAUGCCUCUUACUAAGGGAUAACAAAUGGAAACGUUUGCUAAUACCUUAUACUCCUUAUUAACAGAAGUUAAUAAGGGAAAGAUUUAUUGGUAAGAGAUUAGCCUGUAUUGUAUCAGUUAGUUGGUGGGGUAAUGGCUUACCAAGACUAUGACACAUAACUGGUUUGAGAGGAUGAUCAGUCAUACUGGAACUGAGACACGGUCCAGACUCUUACGGGAGGCAGCAGUGGGGAAUAUUGCACAAUGGACGAAAGUCUGAUGCAGCAACGCCGCGUGGAGGAUGACACAUUUCGGUGCGUAAACUCCUUUUAUAUGAGAAGAUAAUGACGGUAUUAUAUGAAUAAGCACCGGCUAACUCCGUGCCAGCCGCCGCGGUAA